UGUCACUGUCCAUCGUGCAUUGCCGUAGAGUUGAUUGGUGAUGGUGCACGUUUUCCCCCUUUUUAUCCGCUUCUUCUCCCUCAUCUUCCCUCUUCCGACGCCUCUGGAUCCAAUGGCAUCUCCAUUGCCAUCGUUCCCACCUUUCGUCAUCCCGUAAUGCCUCCCUUUCUCUGAUCUCUUCCUCCCCCUCCAUGCAAACUCAUCAAGGUGGAUAUGAAUGUCAGUGACAUGCAUGAAAAAUUUGGUUGCCAAUAGCACACUCAUCAAAUCUUGUUGACAGUGACCUCACCGAUAUAAUUCCCGUGAAAGACGUGGCAGCACUAUGAUGCAUAUGGUUUGCCGACGGCAUGCGAGGCAGAUCUAGUUGUUGACAAGAUAUUGCAGAAAAUUUGGUUUCCAAGAUUCCCAUCCCACGUGAUGUCGAUUCAAAUUUGAACCACAAAUUUCAUGAAGG
rnacentral:lncRNA from 1 species